rnacentral:rRNA from 1 species
GAUGAACGCUGGCGGCGUGCUUAACACAUGCAAGUCGAGCGGCAAGGCCCUUCGGGGUACACGAGUGGCGAACGGGUGAGUAACACGUGGGUGAUCUGCCCUGCACUUCGGGAUAAGCCUGGGAAACUGGGUCUAAUACCGGAUAGGACCACUGCCUGCAUGGGGGGUGGUGGAAAGCUUUUGCGGUGUGGGAUGGGCCCGCGGCCUAUCAGCGUGUUAGUGGGGUGAUGGCCUACCAAGGCGACGACGGGUAGCCGGCCUGAGAGGGGGACCGGCAACACCGGGACUGAGCUACGGCCCAGACUCCUACGGGAGGCAGCAGUGGGGAAUAUUGCAGAAUGGGCGCAAGCCUGAUGCAGCGACGCCGCGUGAGGGAUGACGGCCUUCGGGUUGUAAACCUCUUUCAGCACCGACGAAGCGCAAGUGACGGUAGGUGCAGAAGAAGGACCGGCCAACUACGUGCCAGCCGCCGCCGUAA